rnacentral:rRNA from 1 species
UACGGGGGGGGCAAGCGUUGUUCGGAAUUACUGGGCGUAAAGGGCUCGUAGGCGGCCAACUAAGUCAUACGUGAAAUCCCUCGGCUUAACCGGGGAACUGCGUCUGAUACUGGAUGGCUUGAGAUUGGGAGAGGGAUGCGGAAUUCCAGGUGUAGCGGUGAAAUGCGUAGAUAUCUGGAGGAACACCGGUGGCGAAGGCGGCAUUCUGGACCGACAUUGACGCUGAGGAGCGAAAGCCAGGGGAGCAAACGGG